rnacentral:rRNA from 1 species
AGUAAUGUAUGGGGAUCUGCCUGAUGGGGGGGGAGUAACUACUGGAAACGGUAGCUAAUACCGCAUAAUGUCUGCGGACCAAAGCGGGGGGACCUCCGGGCCUCGCGCCAUCAGAUGAACCCAUAUGGGAUUAGCUAGUAGGUAAGGUAACGGCUUACCUAGGCGACGAUCCCUAGCUGGUCUGAGAGGAUGAUCAGCCACACUGGGACUGAGACACGGCCCAG